GACGAACGCUGGUGGCGCGCUUAACACAUGCAAGUCGAGCGGGAACCGGGCCUUCGGGCCCGGGGACAGCGGCGAACGGGUGAGUAACACGUGGGUAAUCUGCCCUCGGUACUGGGAUAGCCCGGGGAAACCCGGAUUAAUACCGGAUAGCCCUUCGAGCCUUCGGGCUCGCAGGAAAAGGUAGCUUCGGCCUCCGACCGAGGAUGAGCCCGCGGCGGAUUAGCUUGUUGGUGGGGUAACGGCCUACCAAGGCGACGAUCCGUAGCUGGUCUGAGAGAGCGAUCAGCCACACUGGGACUGGGACACGGCCCAGACUCCUACGGGAGGCAGCAGUGGGAAUCUUGCCCAAUGGGCGAAAGCCUGAGGCAGCGACGCCGCGUGCGGGAAGAAGGCCCUCGGGUUGUAAACCGCUUUCAGGAGGGACGAAGCCACUCGGGUUAAUAGCCUAGAGGGUGACGGUACCUCCAGAAGAAGCCCCGGCUAACUACGUGCCAGCCGCCGCAGUAA
rnacentral:rRNA from 1 species